rnacentral:lncRNA from 1 species
GUCUUACCAAGCAUUGACGAGUAUUACAAGGCAGCUAUUCACGGAUUCUUCACUGGCAGCAUCAUUCGCUUCUGCAGGGAGGGAGAAAAAAGCAGUUUUCUCAGCUUACUGGUCAAUUUGUGCAGAAUUACCAAGGUUCAGGAAAACAAGGUCUACCCUUAUCAACAGGCUGUUGAGACGGGAAGAUGGACAUGAAGUGGGUGAAUCAAGGAUAAACUGAAAUCUGUGAGGAUGGGCUGGGACUCAUGAGGAGAGACUUGGACCAACAUUGGUCUCUCCCCACCUCCAAGCCACCCACUUCAAUGAUGGAAGCAAGCUGGAGGGGAAGCUGGCAUCCUUCAUCAGAAAGCUAAUCACGCGCCUGGCCCAGGAGUCAGAGAGGGUGGAGGAGGAUCCAGCAGGAGGUGAGGAUGCUGUGAGCUCAACCUGACGAGGUGAGUGAAGAGAUGAGUGACAACAGGAGCAGCCACGACAGCACCUCCUGCACUGCCCUGGCCUUCCAAGCAUAAAGCGAAAUAUGAUUGCUGCUUUACUUCCACUUCCCAAUGGCACACAAAAUGUCUCUGUGGCCCACACUAACUGCAAUUAUGUAAAGAAAAGAAUUCUGGGAAAUACAGUUCCAGCUUAGCUAAGUGGACAGUCCAAGCAUCCCACAUUGGCUAUAUGGAGAGAACUCUUUCAAUGGAUGGGUAGAGGGCAACAGCCCUGAUGACAGCCUUGGAGCCUCUGGAUCCAGCCAGCUCUGAAGCUGUAACUAUCACUAGAAUUUUCAGUUAUGUGAACUAUUUGGCUUAUACUUGUUUGCUGGGGGUUUUUUUGGUUUUUUUUUUGUUUGUUUGUUUUUUUGAGAUGGAGUCUCGCUCUGUCACCCAGGCUGGAGUGCAGUGGUGCAAUCUCUGUCUCUUGAAAAUAAAAGUGGCCUGACUCAUAUGUGGAGCUAGUUUAGCAUCUAAGAGUAAUUUAGUUAAG